rnacentral:rRNA from 1 species
CACGUAGUUAGCCGGGGCUUCUUAGUCAGGUACCGUCUUGUCUCGUUCCUGCUGAUAGAGCUUUACAUACCGAAAUACUUCUUCACUCACGCGGCGUCGCUGCAUCAGGGUUUCCCUCAUUGUGCAAUAUUCCCCACUGCUGCCUCCCGUAGGAGUUUGGGCCGUGUCUCAGUCCCAAUGUGGCCGUCCACCCUCUCAGGCCGGCUACUGAUCGUCGCUUUGGAGGCCGUUACCCUGCCAACUGGCUAAUCAGACGCGGGUCCAUCCCAUACCACCGGAGUUUUUCACACAGGAGCAUGCGCUCCCGUGCGCUUAUGCGGUAUUAGCACCUGUUCCAGGUGUAUCCCCCGGUAUGGGGCAGGUUACCCACGCGUUGCUCACCCGUCCGCCACUAAGAUCCUUACUUCCAGAGUGCAAGCACCCCUUCGUCAGCACUCCCCGUUCGACUUGCAUGUGUUAAGCACGCCGCCAGCGUUCAUCCUGACGCCGAGGACUACAAACUUCCG